rnacentral:tRNA from 1 species
UAGCUCAGUCGGUUAGAGCAUGGUGCUGAUAACACCAAGGCUGUGGGUUCGAUCCCUGC